GACGAACCGUGCGAACGUUGUUCGGAAUCACUGGGCUUAAAGGGCGCGUAGGCGGCUUGCCAAGUCAGGGGUGAAAUCCUCCAGCUUAACUGGAGAAGUGCCUUUGAUACUGGCAAGCUCGAGCGAGGUAGGGGCAGAUGGAACUUCCGGUGGAGCGGUGAAAUGCGUUGAUAUCGGAAGGAACGCCGGUGGCGAAAGCGAUCUGCUGGACCUCUUCUGACGCUGAGGCGCGAAGGCUAGGGUAGCGAACGGG
rnacentral:rRNA from 1 species